AACGAACGCUGGCGGCAGGCCUAACACAUGCAAGUCGAGCGCCCCGCAAGGGGAGCGGCGGACGGGUGAGUAACGCGUGGGAACAUACCCUUUGGUACGGAAUAGCCUCGGGAAACUGGGAGUAAUACCGUAUGUGCUCGAAAGAGGGAAGAUUUAUCGCCAAAGGAUUGGCCCGCGUUGGAUUAGGUAGUUGGUGGGGUAAUGGCCUACCAAGCCGACGAUCCAUAGCUGGUUUGAGAGGAUGAUCAGCCACACUGGGACUGAGACACGGCCCAGACUCCUACGGGAGGCAGCAGUGGGGAAUCUUAGACAAUGGGCGCAAGCCUGAUCUAGCCAUGCCGCGUGAUCGAUGAAGGCCUUAGGGUUGUAAAGAUCUUUCAGUGGGGAAGAUAAUGACUGUACCCACAGAAGAAGCCCCGGCUAACUCCGUGCCAGCAGCCGCCGCAG
rnacentral:rRNA from 1 species